AUCCAGCUGACGAGUCCCGAAUAGGAAACGCGAGUCCUGGAU
rfam:Schistosoma mattheei strain Denwood, Zambia genome assembly, scaffold: SMTD_scaffold0000020